UAUUAAAGUUGUUGCGGUUGAAAAGCUCGUAGUCGAAUUUGUGUCCCGCGCCGCCGGUUCAUCGUACGCGGUGUUAACUGGCGUGCCGCGGGACGUCCUGCCGGUGGGCCUAAGUCCGCAAGGGCGUCGGCCCGACCCAAUCCCGCCGCGGUGCUCUUCACUGAGUGUCGAGGUGGGCCGGCACGUUUACUUUGAACAAAUUAGAGUGCUUAAAGCAGGCUAAAACUUCGCCUGAAUACUGUGUGCAUGGAAUAAUGGAAUAGGACCUCGGUUCUAUUUUGUUGGUUUUCGGAACCCCGAGGUAAUGAUUAAUAGGAACGGAUGGGGGCAUUCGUAUUGCGACGUUAGAGGUGAAAUUCUUGGAUCGUCGCAAGACGGACAGAAGCGAAAGCAUU
rnacentral:rRNA from 1 species